rnacentral:rRNA from 1 species
AUGGGGUGGGCGAUAGCGCUGCACGGCGGCGCCGGGGACAUCCCGCGCACGCUGCCGCCGGAGCGCAGGGAGCCCCGCCUCGCCACGCUCCGCCGCUGCCUCGACCUCGGCGCCGCCGCGCUCCGGGCCGGCCGCUCCGCCCUCGACGUCGUCGAGCUCGUCGUGAGGGAGCUGGAGGACUGCCCGCACUUCAACGCCGGCAAGGGGUCGGUGCUGACGACCGACGGCACGGUGGAGAUGGAGGCCUCCGUCAUGGACGGCACCGGCAUGCGCUGCGGCGCCGUCUCCGGCCUCUCCACCGUCGCCAACCCCAUCUCGCUCGCCAGGCUCGUCAUGGACAAGACGCCCCACAUCUACCUCGCCUUCGAGGGCGCCGAGGCCUUCGCCAGGGACCAGGGUGUGGAGAUUAGGGAUCAAAGCCAUUUCAUAACAGAGGAAAACAUUGAGAGGCUCAAAAACGCCAAAGAGGCCAACAGGGUGCAGAUCGACUACACCCAGUACAACUACACCCAGCCAAUCGUAGCUCCCAACGGCGACGACAACAGCCGGACCGGCACGGUGGGCUGCGUGGCCGUCGACGCCUCGGGCGGCCUGGCCUCGGCGACCUCCACGGGCGGGCUGGUGAACAAGAUGGCCGGCAGGAUCGGCGACACCCCGGUCAUCGGCGCCGGCACCUACGCCAACGCCCUCUGCGCCGUGUCCACCACGGGCAAGGGCGAGGACAUCAUCCGGCACACCGUGGCGCGCGACGUGGUGGCGGUGAUGGAGCACCGGGGCCUCCCGCUGGAGGAGGCCGCCGCACGCGUCGUGGCCGGCGUGCCCCGGGGCUCCGUGGGGCUGGUGGCCGUGUCGACCGCCGGGGAGGUGACCAUGGCGUACAACACGACGGGGAUGUUCAGGGCGUGCGCCACCGAGGAUGGGCACUCCGAGGUUGCCAUAUGGCCUGCCUGA